AGGAGAACGAAUGUGUCCAUCACCCCAACCUUCUCUCAUUCCCCUUUUUAAUCCCAUUCUCCUGCACUGCCCACCCAAGGCACCCACAGAUCUGCUCUCUGUGCCUCCAGAUUAGCCUUCAUUUUCUAGAGAUUCGUAUAGGCACAUGCAGUACAUGCUCUUUUUGCCUGGCUUCUGUGGUGCAGGGUGAUUUUCAGACUCGUCGGUGCUGGUGUGUGUACUAAGUUCCACCCUCUGUGCUCACGUGACGGUGAGGCCAAGGCGGAGGUUGGGCCUGGCCAGGAACUGGGUGCUCUGAGCCACGCUGCCCGAGCCUCCCUCUGGAACCUGAGCGGUUAGUCUCUGUAGCUGGUCAGCUCUGGUGGGCUUAGGCUGCACAGGUUGGAGUUAGAAAGGACAUGAAAUGUCGUCUGUGUUACCACCCGACUUGGCGCCAGGACCUCUGUAAUGCCGGCUAAGGCUGUUUUGAGCAUGCUCUGUUGGCAGCGCCCACCCAGGGACCAGGGCAGGGUGGGUGGGCUGGUCUGCCCUAUCUCCCCACCCCUUCUCUCUCCAUCCCUCCCCCACUGUCUAACUGGCCCCCCUCCCUGCCGCCCAGCAACCUCAGCAGAGCCCUACUUAGACCCCCCAGAGAGGGUCUGCCCAUCUGUUCACCGUGACGGGGCUGGAGAGGGCAGGUGGCAGCAGAUUCUUAUCGUGUCUGUGGUGCCAGAUCUGAAAGAUUAAUCCCCAGUUGCUUGGGUCUCAGGAACCCUGGAGUGCUUUCCCCACGGCUUGAUGUCACUGCACCAACCUGCCGCUGUCUCGAGGGAGUGGUCAGGAAGGGCUGGGUACAGGCGUACCCUGUCUUCCAGAGCUGCUGACACAGGAUCCUCGGUCCCCAACUGCCCCGGGGUAGGGUAGGGGGUAAACCUGGGAAGGUAAGAAAAUAAUGUGGCACCAAGAGGCGGAGGGUGUAGUGGCUGGAUGGAUGUGGAAGGUGGAGCCACAUAGCCUUGGGUUUGAAACCUGGUUCUGCCACUUACUGAUUGGGUGACUUUGGACAAGCGAAGUGACCUCCCUGAGCCCCAUUUCCUCACCCUUGGAUGGAGACAAUUGCACCUACUUCCGCAGGGGUGGUGGGAGGAGUCACUAACACUCCCAGCCGGCUCCUGGCACCUGCAUCGAACUCGCUCCACACACCCAGCGCCCACUGACCUACGGGCCCUGGCCGUCUGUUCCAGGAUGACAUUAAGAAUAUCUAGAUCUUCUGGGAAAUCCCAAAAGGGCAGCUAGCAAUGCCACCUGGCUCCUCCUGAAGUCCCCCGAGGCAGAGCCCAGUGAGCCCAGGCGACUCAGCCAGGAGCCCCCCGCCCGCACCCCCAGGCGCUCCGGGCCCCUCGGGGCGUUCACACGGAGCUCCUGCGUUUCAUGAGGCCGCGGAAGGUG